UAUCACCGUAUGAAAAAGCUAGACUUGUUCACUCAGAAAAUUACAUCUCAACAAAACUGUCAUUAACGCAGUUCCGACUCUGAUUACUGGUUGCUGUACGUAUCUAUCCACAUCAAGGGUCUUGAGAGAGAAUCGUGAAGAUUCAAGACAGCUCUUAGAGGAUUUGCAGUUUAAAAGUGCAAUAAUUAUGAAAUAAGUGUGCAGAAUGUGUGAUUAAACUGUGUUUAAUUGAAUUUGUUAUGCGAUUUUAAAGGAAUGAUAAAUGUUAAUUUCCACAUGUUAAGCCGCCCUAUACCAGUAAAUUUUCCAACAUUUAA